GAGAAGGCUAAGGAUAACUCGGCUCUGGAGAGUAGAGAAUAUGCCUUCUCUUCUGCCCCUCCAGGAACCUUACUUUUUUUUUUUUAAACAAAAAACAAAAACAAAAAACAAAAACCAAAAACCAAAAACCAACCACCACCUUUUAUUUAAAAGUCUAACCUUGGGAAUUUGCUGGGGAGAAGGAACUCAGUGAAUAUUGCCCUGGGUCCUGGUAAUUCCACCUACUGAAGACAACUGCCCCUUCUGCUCAUAUUUCCUGAGUCAACAUGGCCGUUCCUAACUUUGAAGAGACUUUAGACAUUCUUUGUUACAAUGAACCUAGAAGAAAGAAGAGAAAUAAUAACUGCCAUGGAAGGAUGCUCCUCCUGCCAAUUGGCACUUAUCAAUGACAUCGAGGGAGAGGGACAGAGUGCCUAGGUAUGAGCCUUCAUCAAGUGGUAUGAAGGCCCUACCCCAACAGAAAGUGCUGAUGUGAUGAAAUGGUGCUUUGGACAAGACUUUUCCUCCAAGUUGGUCCUAUCCAGGGGUUGGCAAACAGGGUCCCUGGACAUCAUCCAUGUGGCAUACUCUUAUGAAUAAAGUUCUAUAGGACACAGA
rnacentral:lncRNA from 1 species